UACAGAGGUCUCAAGCGUUGUUCGGAUUCAUUGGGCGUAAAGGGUGCGUAGGCGGCGCGGUAAGUCGGGUGUGAAAUCUUGGAGCUUAACUCCGAAACUGCAUUCGAUACUGCCGUGCUUGAGGACUGGAGAGGAGACUGGAAUUUACGGUGUAGCGGUGAAAUGCGUAGAUAUCGUAAGGAAGACCAGUGGCGAAGGCGGGUCUCUGGACAGUUCCUGACGCUGAGGCACGAAGGUCAGCGGAGCAAACGGG
rnacentral:rRNA from 1 species